AGAGUUAUCAACGAAGGAAUAAUUUCGUGGUCCCCCUGGCGGGGAAGAGAGGAGUCCCUUUCCCAUGACGAUAAAGGAGGACCACUAGGGUUUCGGGGGCAUCCGCCAUUCGCGACCUCCUCCGUCGAUCGGAUUCGCUCCUCCCCCUCUCCCUCCAAUAUCUGUCACUCUGGCUUUGAUCGAAUCCUGAUGCAUAUGGUCUUGGUGUGGGGGGACUUGGAGGCGUGACGAUGCCCACCGCGGACUUCCAGGGCUCGUCGGCCCCCUUCGCGUCCACCGGCCGCUCCUUCCUGAGCCUGCGGCGGGACCACGCCGCCGACCCGAUGGACGCACAUCAUCGCCACCACAUCGAUGCCGGCGAGCAGAGGGAGCUCGACGCCUUCCAGCACCAGGUCGCUGAUCUCUUCCACGACCUCGCUGGCGGCGGCGACGAGAUCCUCUCCAUAUCCUGGGUCCGGCGCCUCCUGGACACCUUCCUCGUCUGCCAGGAGGAGUUCCGGGUGAUCCUCUUCGGCCACCGCCGGCCCCCGGCCCUGAUGGACCGCCUCGUGUCCGACUUCUUCGAGCGCGCCGUGAAGGCGCUCGACGUCUGCAACGCCGUGCGCGAUGGCGUCGAUCAGUUGCGGCAGUGGCGGAAGCACCUCGAGAUCGUGAUCGUGGCCCUCGGCCCGCACCACCGGGAACUAGGAGAGGGGCAGCUCCGCCGGGCCAAGAAGGCGCUCGGCGACCUCGCCAUCCUCAUGCUCGACGAGAAGGACUCGGGCUCCGUCCUCUCCCAGCGCAACCGUUCUUUCGGCCGCCAUAGCGGCUCCUCUUCCUCGUCGAGCGGGGGCCGACGCUCGCACUUCCGCUCCCUCUCCUGGAGCGUCUCCCGGUCCUGGUCCGCGUCACGGCAGCUUCAAGCCAUCGGGAACAAUAUAGCCGCACCUCGUGGCCACGAGGUCGUGGAGACGGCCGGGCUCGCAGUGCCUGUGUUCACGAUGAAUUUAGUGCUCCUCUUCGUGAUGUGGGCCCUCGUGGCGGCGAUCCCCUGUCAGGAUCGCGGCCUCCAGAUCCACUUCUCCGUCCCGCGGAGCUACCUCUGGGCCGCCUCGAUCACGUCUCUCCACGAGAGGAUCGUGGAGGAGUCCAAGAAGAAGGACAAGAAGAACUCGAUUGGGCUGUUGAAGGAGAUCCACCAGAUCGAGAAGUGCGUCCACCACUUGAUUGACCUGAUAGAUGCCGUUCAGCUCCCGAUGGCGGAGGAGAAGGAGAUGGAGGUGAGGCAGGGGGUGCAGGAGCUGGCCCAAGUCUGCGAGGCCAUGAAGGAGGGUCUUGAUCCAUUGGAGCGUCUGGUCAGGGAAGUCUUCCUUCGGAUCAUACGAAGCCGCACAGAGGGGUUGGAUUGCUUAAAUGGUGUCGAAUGACAUCAUCGUAUCGAGGCCAGAGACGGAAGAGCCUGCUAAUGAAAAGAACCAAGAGAUAGAUGAAAUGUUCUCUUCCACGAGUAAGUAUAGCAGGGUGUGGUGGAGUGUAGCAGGAGCCUUCUAUUUUGUGGGAGCUACUACUCCGUACCAUAUUUAGAGAUGAUGAAGAAUCAAUUAAAAGACUGACCUUGGUGUUCAAGGAAAAUUUGUCUGUCUGUAUAAUCAAAUUUAUUAUAAUGGACUAUUGUGGCUACAACAGGCUGAUCAUUAUGUUCUUGAAAUUGUUUAUUGUGGAUAUGUAUGCACCUUAAACAGCAUCUUGUUUGGUCCUCUGUUACUUAUGGACAAUCAAUCCUCUAUAUUUCAAAUACAAGUUAUAAUUUCUGAUGUUGAGAUCAAA